UCUUUCUCCUGGAAUCAUCUCCGUGAGAGUGGUUAUUGGGAUCAGCAGGUAGCAAGGAGCUCCUCUCUUGAAAUUACAACUAGGAAAAGCAAGAAUUUUGUCUGGUUUAAGAUGCUGCUAGCUGCCAGAGUGAUUGGUGAGACAUGCAGAUGCUGGGACAAAGAAUGAAGCAGACCUGUGAGCUUGCUCAGUGCCCUGACAAUGGAGACAGGAAAGUUGUUUUGGACAUAUGUUCCUGACCCACCUUUGCUUGCCUAUAUCCCAGAUUGGACAAGCUUCCUUGCUUCAAGCUUUUAGACUUUGUGGGACAGAAAACAUGGAGACUGGAAACCGACUUUAAAAACUUAAUAAAAAAGAGAAGGUAUGAUGACUCUUCUCUUCCCUUUUAUGUGACCAGUUAUUCUGACUCAAUCAUGGACUGCUCUAUAAAUCAAUCCAAUACUGGAAAUAACAGUCUUCAUUUGGAAGGCUGGUUCUGGACGUUUUUAGAGACAUACUUGAAAGUUAGCUGCAGUUCUCUGAUGCUAUGUUAGCAAUAGAUUGGGACAGGAUCUAGUUUUCAAAGAAAUAUUAGUGCUUAGCUCCUGAUCGUUUAUUAAUUGGUCAUGUUGAAAUUACUUUGUUUCUUCCACAGUAUUUAAUGUAAGUUGUAUUGAUUAUGCACUUUCUAAUUGUGUUAGUGUGUUGAAACCUGGCAUGUCUGUUAUGGUGGUCUAUCAACCAGUUUUUGUUUUAUUGCCUGUGAAUAUUACAGGGCCUUGGUAUCCUGAAAAAAGCUUGCAGGUACUGGAAGAAGUGAGUCGGGCUCUAAGCAGAAACAAGAGGAUAGUGGGCUUCAUUAUUGCUGGUAUAGCAGCUUUAAUUAAGCUAGUAGCUAGUACCACUGCUGCAAUUGCUUUGACACAAGACGUUUAGAUAGCUACUUUUGUUAAUCAUUUAGCAAAAAAUGUUACUAAUGUCCUGAGUAUUCAAGAGGAUUUAGACAGGCAUUGGAAACAAUGGAUUGAUGUUCUUUAUGAUGCUAUUCAAAUUAUUAGAUAGGAGGUUCAGUGCUUAAGAGUAGGAAAUCAUCUUGAUUAUCAUGCUAAAUGGAUUUAUGUUCCUUCUAAAAUUUACAAUGAUAGUCACUAUAAUUGGCAGAAGGUUCAAAGACACUUGUAGGGUGUUUGGCAUAUAAGUCCAACACCUCUCUGGAUAUUUUAACUUUGAAUAGUGAGAUUAUGAAUUUAAGGAAUGCUGCUCUGCUGAGCUUUGAUGUUACAGAUAUUGCUGGUAGAAUUAUUCAUGGCCUGAGGUCAGUAUUUCCAUCUUGGUCAAGCUUCAAGAAUGACAUAUAUGGCUUGAUCAUGCUAGCCCUUCUUGUGCUAGGAAUACUUUUAUUCCUGCCCAUAGUGUUAAAGCUUGCCUUUUACAACAUCAACAUGUUAGUGGUCCAAGUACAUGGCUUGAAACUAAGAAUGAAUCCCCAAACAGAGUUAUUAAUUUAACAGGCUGGCAAGCCAAGGGAGGGUAAGAUUCUGCACAAGGGCCUUGCCAACCUAAGACAAAGGCAUGUGCCAACAGGCCAUGUUUGUUUAUAGCGAACACUAAAAGGCCAUGUUUGUUCAUAUAAUACAAACAAGCUGCACAUGUCUUGAAGAUGGGUACAGAAGUCAUUCUUGUCAGGACAACCUAAGACAGGCUCAGCCUUAUUUAUUAAAUUUAAAGAGGGGAGCUGUGAAGAGCCUUUUUGGGGUGCCACUUGGCAGGAGUCUGACACUGGCCAAGGACAAGAAAAUGGGCUUCAGACAGGAAUAUGACCUUGGCUAUGACAAGGAAGUAAGCUCAGGCAGAAAUCUGACAUUAGGGCAUAGUAAGUUUCGGCAAGAAUCUAACUUUAGGCUAUAAUAGGGAAGUAGGGUAAGGUAGGAAUUUUAAUCUUAGGGUGCAACAAAAGAAGUAGACUUCAGGCAAGAUUUUUGGCUUGGACAAGGAAGUGAUCUUAAGUAUUUUGGUCAUUAUUACAAGCCCUUUUAAACAACUGUCAUGGGAGUAAUCACGGGACUUUGCUUACUGCCUUGCUAGUUCCUUAUUGUACUGCUCACCCUUAAUACUUGCAUGUAAUUAAAAUGGUAUAAAAAGAGGAUUGGGAAAAUUAAAUUUGCCUUCAGUCUCAGAAUUGAAUGGGGUCAUGCU
ensembl:lincRNA 9830004L10Rik RIKEN cDNA 9830004L10 gene